rnacentral:rRNA from 1 species
ACUCCUGCGGGAGGCAGCAGUGGGGAAUAUUGGACAAUGGGCGCAAGCCUGAUCCAGCCAUGCCGCGUGAGUGAUGAAGGCCCUAGGGUUGUAAAGCUCUUUCACCGGUGAAGAUAAUGACGGUAACCGGAGAAGAAGCCCCGACUAACUUCGUGCCAGCAGCCGCGGUAAUACGAAGGGGGCUAGCGUUGUUCGGAUUUACUGGGCGUAAAGCGCACGUAGGCGGACUAUUAAGUCAGGGGUGAAAUCCCGGGGCUCAACCCCGGAACUGCCUUUGAUACUGGUAGUCUUGAGUUCGAGAGAGGUGAGUGGAAUUCCGAGUGUAGAGGUGAAAUUCGUAGAUAUUCGGAGGAACACCAGUGGCGAAGGCGGCUCACUGGCUCGAUACUGACGCUGAGGUGCGAAAGCGUGGGGAGCAAACAGGAUUAGAUACCCCGGUAGUCCCA